CAGAGACAGAAGAAAAGAGAGAAGGACAGAACAGAGGAGGACAAGAACAGAGUGAGAGUCAUGUUGAUGUGACUCCACAGUGCAGUGAGGUAGCUCUCCUGAAGAGGAAGCUGUCCUUCACACAACAUCAGCUGGAAUCCCUGAAGAAAAGGCUUGUCGAGGCGCUGAAAGAAAACUACAACUUGAGACUAACCAGCCUGAAGCAGGACUCCUCUACCACUGCAGAGACCAACUGUGGCAGGCAUUGGGACAGGUGUCUACAGAGACAGGUGCUAGUUCUGAGAGAGCAGGAGACACACCUGAGACAACUGGAGCAGACCAUUGUGCUUCUACAGGGCAAGCACAGGUCAAUACACACACACACACACACACACACUCACAC
ensembl:lncRNA